UGACUUUUGAUUCGUCACAGGUUCGUCUCUAUCCACUUCACUGUGUUCUGUUUCACCCUCUCAAUGAUCCAUGGACCCGGGGCAGCUGGUUUUAUAAAUGAGGAGAGGCUUUCUACUUUCCUCUGCAUGCCUACCGGAACAGAUUUUUCUAUCUGGCAUUUCUCUAAAAUUGCCAAAUGGUGAGUGGACUGCAUGAGUCUGAAAUACUGUUUAGAUAAAAUCAGUUCACCCCUGUCUAUGGGAGGGUAGCUACUCUGUCUCGGCUGUGUUUCAGUUCUAGCACUAAAGCGGUUGGAGAAGUGCGACCCUGAAGCCCUGCCACGAAAAGCCAUCAGAGAAGCUAAGUCAAAGCCAACCCUAACUGUUUGCAAGUGUUUCUCAGAGAGAAUUAAACCAAGGUUAAACUUGCGCCAGAGGCUGGAGAAAGAUCCCUACUAGAGCCGACCGGCUUCACCAGGCUAUACAGUGUGUGGUAUAUAUGUCACGACCCACAGCUGCUGCUCUUUAAGAGAGGUCAUACAAGAAAGCAAUCCAAAGAGAGAGGGAGAGAGGAGAGAGAUGUGUACUCUAUCUGAAAAUAGGGUCAUUGGUGGUACGGGAGGUCAGGUGAAGGACCGGGGGAAGGGAGGUGUGUGUGUGUGUGUGUGUGUGUGUGUGUGUGUGUGUGUGUGUGUGUGUGUGUGUGCGCGGAGGGGUGGGGGUUACAGAGGGGGAUGACGGAAAGGUCUGACAUGGAGAUUGCGAGCCUGCUAAAAUCACCUGGUUAACUGUGUGUGUGUGUGUGUAUGGGUUGGUGUGUGUGUGUGUGUGUGUAUGGGUUGGUGUGUGUGUGUAUGGGUUGGUGUGUGUGUGUGUGUGUGUGUGUGUGUGUGCUAAAAUCACCUGGUUAACUGGAGGCAUUUAGCCAGUGUGUUUCAACCGAAGGAUAGAUAAGCCGCACUCGCGGUUAGCCGUGUGUUAGUUAAAUAUCAGAGGGAAAAAAAUUCAGGUUUAAACAAAAUACAAG
ensembl:lncRNA